UAGAAGCUGUAAGAAGCUCAGACAGUGC
rnacentral:piRNA from 1 species